GGUAAUGCCGGAUGCUCCGACUCCUCGCAUGGGGUGUCGGGAAAGAUUUCAUCGGUAUGGGAUGGGGUCGCGUCCUAUCAGGUAGUCGGCGGGGUAACGGCCCACCGAGCCUACGACGGGUAGCCGGCCUGAGAGGGCGACCGGCCACAUUGGGACUGAGAUACGGCCCAGACUCCUACGGGAGGCAGCAGUGGGGAAUAUUGCACAAUGGGCGCAAGCCUGAUGCAGCGACGCCGCGUGCGGGAUGACGGCCUUCGGGUUGUAAACCGCUUUUGAUCGGGAGCAAGCCUUCGGGUGAGUGUACCUUUCGAAUAAGCACCGGCUAACUACGUGCCAGCAGCCGCGGUAAUACGUAGGGUGCAAGCGUUAUCCGGAAUUAUUGGGCGUAAAGGGCUCGUAGGCGGUUCGUCGCGUCCGGUGUGAAAGUCCAUCGCUUAACGGUGGAUCUGCGCCGGGUACGGGCGGGCUGGAGUGCGGUAGGGGAGACUGGAAUUCCCGGUGUAACGGUGGAAUGUGUAGAU
rnacentral:rRNA from 1 species